GACGGAAGGUGCAAGCGUUGCUCGGAAUCACUGGGCGUAAAGGGUGCGUAGGCGGCCGUGCAAGUCUGGCGUGAAAGCCCCGGGCUCAGCCCGGGAAGUGCGCUCGAAACUGCGCGGCUCGAGUGCCGGAGGGGAGAGUGGAAUUCCUGGUGUAGCGGUGAAAUGCGUAGAUAUCAGGAGGAACACCUGUGGCGAAAGCGGCGCACUGGACCACAACUGACGCUGAGGCGCGAAAGCUAGGGGAGCAAACAGG
rnacentral:rRNA from 1 species